UACGGGGGGGGCAAGCGUUGUUCGGAAUUACUGGGCGUAAAGGGCUCGUAGGCGGCCAACUAAGUCAGACGUGAAAUCCCCAGGCUUAACCUGGGAACUGCGUCUGAUACUGGAUGGCUUGAAUUCGGGAGAGGGAUGCAGAAUUCCAGGUGUAGCGGUGAAAUGCGUAGAUAUCUGGAGGAAUACCGGUGGCGAAGGCGGCAUCCUGGACCGACAUUGACGCUGAGGAGCGAAAGCUAGGGAGCAAACGGG
rnacentral:rRNA from 1 species